rnacentral:tRNA from 1 species
GGUCCCGUAGCUUAACUGAAUAGAGCAUCUGACUACGGAUCAGAAGGCUGUGGGUUUGAAUCCCGCCGGGAUCA